GACGUAGGGCGCGAGCGUGUCCGGAUUUAUUGGGCGUAAAGAGCUUGUAGGCGGUUUGUCGCGUCUGCCGUGAAAAUCCGAGGCUCAACCUCGGACUUGCGGGUGGGUACGGGGCAGACUAGAGUGUGGUAGGGGGAGACUGGAAUCCUGGUGUAGUGGUGAAAUGCGUAGAGAUCCGGAGGAACACCAGUGGCGAAGGCGACACGCUGGGCCGUACCUGACACUGAUGCGCGACAGCAUGGGGGAGCAAACAGG
rnacentral:rRNA from 1 species